GCGCAGCAGGCGAGAAUACUUUACAAUGUGCGAAAGCACGAUAAGGGAACUCUGAGUGCCUCCUAAGGAGGCUGUUCGGGUGUCUAAAAGCACCUGAAGGAAGGGCUGGGUAAGACCGGUGCCAGCCGCCGCGGUAACACCGGCAGCCCAAGUGGUAGCCACGUUUAUUGGGUCUAAAACAUCCGUAGCCGGCUGGGCAAGUCCUCCGUUAAAUCCAACGAUUCAAUCGUUGGGCUGCGGGGGAUACUGUCCAGCUUGGGGGCGGGAGAGGCCGACGGUAUUCCCGGGGUAGGGGUGAAAUCCUAUAAUCCCGGGAGGACCACCAGUGGCGAAGGCUGUCGGCUAGAACGCGCCCGACGGUGAGGGAUGAAAGCUGGGGGAGCGAACCGGAUUAGAUA
rnacentral:rRNA from 1 species